rnacentral:snRNA from 1 species
AUACCUUUCUAGGCCUUUUGGCUAAGAUCUAGUGUAGUACAAUUGUUAUGCUAUGGACCUGUGUCUAGCAUAUAUGUUGGACACGGGGUAAUAGUGCCGUUAGGCACUGUUAUCUCUUUUUAA